UGUCCUACGGGAGGCAUCAGUGGGGAAUUUUGGACAAUGGGCGCAAGCCUGAUCCAGCAAUGCCGCGUGCAGGAUGAAGGCCUUCGGGUUGUAAACUGCUUUUGUACGGAACGAAAAGGCUCUGGCUAAUACCUGGAGUUGAUGACGGUACCGUAAGAAUAAGCACCGGCUAACUACGUGCCAGCAGCCGCGGUAAUACGUAGGGUGCGAGCGUUAAUCGGAAUUACUGGGCGUAAAGCGUGCGCAGGCGGUGAUGCAAGACAGAUGUGAAAUCCCCGGGCUCAACCUGGGAACUGCAUUUGUGACUGCAUCGCUGGAGUGCGGCAGAGGGGGAUGGAAUUCCGCGUGUAGCAGUGAAAUGCGUAGAUAUGCGGAGGAACACCGAUGGCGAAGGCAAUCCCCUGGGCCUGCACUGACGCUCAUGCACGAAAGCGUGGGGAGCAAACAGGAUUAGAUACCCUGGUAGUCGAU
rnacentral:rRNA from 1 species